rnacentral:lncRNA from 1 species
AAAAACCACUCCUAUUCUUCUGUAAUGUUUAAACACUGACCUAUUGUACUAAGAGAAAGGGCAAAGAGAGGGGAAAAAGAAUGAAGCGUAGACUAGGAAGGUUUGCAUCUCCUCAGAGUCAUGCUUUUAUUUUCUUCACCACCCGGCAUGGUUCUGCUGCUUGGGAAGUGAGCCCGUGUAAGAGUGGGAUUUCCCACAAGGCCCGGCCUCCUUGUGGUGUUUCACCAAGAAGUGAUGCUCGCUUAGGAUGUUUGUUCUUGUUAAUAGCAGAGCAUAAACACACGUCCCAGCUGCAAACAGGGAUACGAGGCAGGGCUCCAGGCUCACAAUAAACUGGAGUGCCACGUGAAAAGCUUUGGGAGUUUUUGGUGAGCUGGGUUUUUGGUUGACUUGAGUUUCUGAGUGCAGUUGCUUUCUUGGAAAUAGAUUUUCCAUAUUUAGCAUAAUGUCACUUCUGUUCUUCCACUGUGUGAUGAGUAGGAAGAGCAGAAGAUAGUUCUGGAGAAGAACUAUGAGGAGACUAAUUCGCCAACCUGCCUUCCCAGCCUGCUUUGGAGCGUGAAGCUGAGUGCAGCAGAGGUUCAGCAGGGCCUCAGGGUGACCUUCCAUGGCGGCACCCACUGCUCCUCCUCAACCUCUGGCACUCCAUCGGCUCCGUUAAACUAACCACAGAAUGCAGACCACACGGAACAAGAUGCUUCAACCCACGAUCCCGAGCAGCCGGGCAGCCCAGGAGUUGGCACAGGGCAGCUGCACUGCUCAGGGCAAAGAUCUCUCCAGCCCUGUGCUCUCUCCACACCAGCGACAAAAAUAGAUGCCCAGGGAAAACAGAAACAACGGGAAGAAACUUGAUACGCCCCCAAAUGCUCUCUCAGACAUCUGCAGUUGAUGGCCUACUUGUUUCCCAGGCCAGAGCAACGUCUGCAUUUGAGAGUGUAUGGGAAUUGCUAAGUCAUGGCCUGAAGCAAUGAUUGAGCACCUGGUGAUGGGACACAGGCAGCCCUGGGAGCACAGGAGAAAGCAAUUCACACGUGUGAACGGGUCCCACCUCCUCCCUCAGCCUCAUUUAAGGGCCGGCUGCCACCUGGAGGUUCCUCUUUUUAGAGCGUUUGGUGAGCCCUGAUCCUUGGGAUAAAGAUGUGGAAGGAUGGAGGUGACCUCAGAAGACGGAGAGGGAAGCUGUGGCCAUGCAGAAACGCAGCAGUGAAAGCCAGAGCAUCCUGGGAGAAGACCCUGCCAGAAGCCCCCUGACUGCCCUUGCCAGACCCAAAUGCACAGGAGUAAAGGGAAAUCAGGCUCCAUGCAAUUUGUACUGCAACCAGAGCAGUGUCAUGUUUAGCUUAGCCUCCGGUCCCUACUGAUAUAAAUCUGCAAAGGAAACAACUGUCUACAAGACAAAGGAGGCUGAAAUCAUUGCUCUCUGUCUGGGAAGUGCAGGCUGGCACUUGCAAAGCUCUUUCUGCCCAAGGUCUUUCCAGAAAGUUAAGCUGUGCUGGAAAGGUUAAUGAGGGGCCACAAAAGGGGCUUUCUCCUGCUUCUCAGCAUGCUCUACACUGACGUGGAUGAGGUGAAUGCUCACAUACAUUGCUGGUGCAGAAGGCUUCCAGGUCGGCAGCAUUCUUGGAGAUGCUUUGGGCCAGGUUUUGCUGCUGCGUUGGGCUUUUCAUGCUGACCUUCUUCUUCAGCAGCCUCACGAUGUAAUCUUUCACCAAACGGACGUGGAUCUUCUCAACGACGGGCUGUUGGGAAGGAGAGUGGGAUCAUCCAUCUGUCAUUUGCUUGGCACUGAGGGAUGUGGUUAGUGGGUGAGGUGGGAAUGGGCUGAUAGAUGGACUAGACGGUCUUAGUGGUCUUUUACAAUUGUAGUGAUUCCAUGAUGUGUGUGGAUGAAGGACAAAGACACCUCAAGUGCUACAAAGUGUGUCCCUCCAAGUGUCUGCUGCUGCUCAAACAUGAAGAGCCGUGCUGGCUGCCAACCUCCCUGCAACCUGCAACGGGACAUCCUACAUACCGAGAAUGUCUUUGUACUUCAAUUAAUGAGGUGUGGGAAUUUCCAAAUGUUGCUUCCUUCUGGGAAGACUUCAAUGCUUAGAAAACAUCUCCAAGUGUUAGAUAAGAGGUAGAGGUACUCCAGAGAAACAGGAACUCACCCGCCUCCUCCUGUUCCUCUCUCUAAUACACAAAACUUCAUAAUUUCUUUUAAUUACUAAGAAGACAAAGGCAGGAAAUCAAAGAUUUCAUACGGUAGUGUUUCACAUAUACUCCUGCACCACUGAGCAUGUGGUUGUGGCUAUUUCUCUUUGACUUACGUGGUAAAAUGGGUCCUUCAGGGUCCGUAACUCUGAAAUAUGAUUGCUGGUCGUUUUAAUGAUCUCAUUCAUAAUUUCAUUGCUGCAUUCCCACUUAUUUUCUGUAAAUUUCUUAUAAAUUGGCUGAAAAAUAAAGGAACAACUACUUAGUUUCUAUGCAAACACGUAUUUACAUUCGUAUAUGCAUUACACCCUCUAUAGUGACAGCAAGGUGGGCGGUCCUAUUAGGGAAAUGUGAAGAUGACUCAUAGGGACAAGGAAAGAGGAG